GGGACGAAAGCGUGGGUAGCGAACAGGAUUAGAUACCCUGGUAGUCCACGCCGUAAACGAUGGUCACUAGCUGUUUGGCCAACAUUGGUUGGUUGAGUGGCUAAGCGAAAGUGAUAAGUGACCCACCUGGGGAGUACGCUCGCAAGAGUGAAACUCAAAGGAGUUGACGGGGGCCCGCACAAGCGGUGGAGCAUGUGGUUUAAUUCGACGAUACGCGAGGAACCUUACCAGGGCUUAAAUGUAAGUUGCAUAAGCUAGAGAUAGCUUUUUCUUCGGACUACUUACAAGGUGCUGCAUGGUUGUCGUCAGCUCGUGCCGUGAGGUGUCAGGUUAAGUCCUAUAACGAGCGCAACCCCUAUCGUUAGUUGCCAACAGGUAAUGCUGGGAACUCUAGCGAGACUGCCGGUGCAAACCGCGAGGAAGGUGGGGAUGACGUCAAAUCAUCACGGCCCUUACGUCCUGGGCUACACACGUGCUACAAUGGCCGGUACAGAGAGCAGCCACUCCGCGAGGAGGAGCGAAUCUAUAAAACCGGUCUCAGUUCGGAUCGCAGUCUGCAACUCGACUGCGUGAAGCUGGAAUCGCUAGUAAUCGGAUAUCAGCCAUGAUCCGGUGAAUACGUUCCCGGGCCUUGUACACAC
rnacentral:rRNA from 1 species